rnacentral:rRNA from 1 species
UCUGGUGACUAUAGCAAGGAGGUCACACCUGUUCCCAUGCCGAACACAGAAGUUAAGCUCCUUAGCGUCGAUGGUAGUCGAACUUACGUUCCG